UACGUAGGGUGCGAGCGUUGUCCGGAAUUAUUGGGCGUAAAGAGCUCGUAGGCGGUGUGUCACGUCGGCCGUGAAAACCUGCAGCUUAACUGUGGGCGUGCGGUCGAUACGGGCAUCACUGGAGUUCGGCAGGGGAGACUGGAAUUCCCGGUGUAGCGGUGAAAUGCGCAGAUAUCAGGAGGAACACCGGUGGCGAAGGCGGGUCUCUGGGCCGAUACUGACGCUGAGGAGCGAAAGCGUGGGGAGCGAACAGG
rnacentral:rRNA from 1 species